AUUCCAUGAUGCGGGCGGUCUGAUAUGUAUUCUUGAAAACACUCCCAUGCUUCAAUAGGUUCACCUUUCUGCUGAUGAAAUUCUAAAAUCUUCCCUCGUAAGAUA
rnacentral:snoRNA from 1 species